GAAAUGCGAUAAGUAAUGUGAAUUGCAGAAUUCAGUGAAUCAUCGAAUCUUUGAACGCACCUUGCGCUCCUUGGUACUCCGAGGAGCAUGCCUGUUUGAGUGUCAUGAAAUUCUCAACCUUUCUGGCUUUUACAAAGUUGGUCAGGCUUGGAUUGUGGGGGUUGCUGGCUUCUAAAGUCAGCUCUUCUAAAAUACAUUAGCAAGAUCAUUGCUGCUCAUCACUGGUAUGAUAAUUAUCUAUACUAUUGAUGAGUCGGUUUCCUUUAUGGAGGAUUUUGCUCCUAGCUGUCUUCAUUAAGACAAUACUUGACCAUUUUGACCUCAAAUCAGGUAGGACUACCCGCUGAACUUAA
rnacentral:misc_RNA from 1 species